CCGUGCUGAGACACAUACCGUUUUGCACUUUGACCACGGAUGUACUGGCACUGAUCGCACAAACGGGAAUGAAAGGUCGGGCUUGCCCGGCCUUUUUGUUU
rnacentral:sRNA from 1 species